GAGGGAAACCCACGGUUUCAGCCUAGCCCUAUUAUCUCAAAACCCAAUCCCUAAUGACGCGUUUUUCUCUCGCUCUCUCUCUCUCCCAGAGUUCUUUCUCUAGCUCUAUUCUUUCUCUUGCUCUCUCUCUCUCCCAGCGUUCUUUUCUUUCUCUCGCUCUCUCUCUCUGCCAGCGUCUCAGCGUUCUUUCUACCCUCUCCAUCGCACGAGCUGUUGGAGCACACCACGGCAAAGGAGCACUCUCUCCACUGGAAUUGUAGGCUCUUUCUUCUCCAAUUUGCGAUCGAAGAGAGUGGAGAAAAUGGCGACCGGUCACUCCCAGAGACUUUGUUCGAUUUGAUGAAGCAUUACUUCGAAACCGAAGAGGGUAAACAGCUUUGCAAUCUCGUUUACCAGAUCAAUCUCGCACCCAAGGAAGCCUUGUAAAGUUGGGAUUAAGUAUCUUGAAGAUGGAACCAUAGUAAGAGUAUCCAGAGGCUUGGGUGCAUCAGGAUCCAUUAUUCCUCUUCCUGAGAUAUUGAAGAUAAGGACUACGCCAAGCCCUAUAGUUGCUGGUCCAAAGGAUACUCCAACGGAUGUUGUGAUGGAGAAGACUUAUGAUGCAAAAACUGGGCGAGGCAUGCUUGAACUUUGAAAGACCUGUAUUCUUAUAUAGUUUUUUCAUGGAAUGGAACCAGGGUAAAGAUAUUGCAGAAAAGUGGCUAUCUCAAAUCUCAGUUGUCGCCAAGUGACAAAGAAAAUAUCCAAAUUUGUACUCUGCUUCCUUUAUACCUAUUAUUCAGUUGAUGUUCUAGACAAGUGAAUAAUCAGAUUGCUAAUUUGGUGUCUGACCUUUUUUGGUUCAAUGUGCUACUUUCACUUGCAUAUAUGCUUUUACUGUGCUCUUCAGUAAAUUGUAUUUCCCAUAAAAGUAAUCUGCAAAGGUAAUCAUAUUUUUAUCUAACCGUAUUAUGCCCACCAAAAUGAUGACAGGAGUGAUUUUUGCCUAAAAAAUGUUUACUUGCUGAUUUAAAUACAAUAAUUUUACAUUACUUUGGUGAUUUUUGGUACCUUUUUAGUUGAAUCUAUUCAUGAUGUUUCAUUUCUCUGUUCCUUGUUUUUCAUGUAUAUGAGGAUUUAAUGCUUUGUUAUAUAUAGACCUUGUUUAGAGUUUGUCUAAUUUUUUUUAUUUUUGUUUGAUAGAACUACCCAGUGCAACAUCAGUAGAUGCUUAAGGUGAGGCCCAAUAUUUAACCAAGGAGAUGUUCAAGAAACCAUUUCUGAGAUUUUCAACAACUUUCUUUUGAUCGGAAAAUCUGAGGUUCAAUUUCCACGAAUCUUGGAUCAUGGAAGUCUUGUAAGAAAUUCUCAUAUUCCAUGAGAAGUAUUUGCUAUUCUAGCUUGUGAUUUUGAGUGCAAAGUUUUCAUUUGUUUAUAUCCUACAGAUCAGGCCAUUGGUAAAACCAACUCAGGUGAGGGCUUACCGGACUCCAAUUUGCAAAGCUAAGCGAGGAGGGUUUAAGGAUACUCCAGCUGAUGAUUUCCUUGCAGUUGUUUUAAAGGUGCUUUGCUGUCUAUAUCACCACUCUUUCCAAAAAAUAUUAAAUUGUUUUGGCCAAAUCAGAUACAGUUUAGUGAAUAUUGAUUUAAUCUUUUAUGGUUCACAUUUGAAUUUAUUUUCUAAUACAUUUGAAUCUCUUCUGAUGGUUGUUGAGUUAUAUGAAUUCAGUUCUA